rnacentral:rRNA from 1 species
GUUAAGCGACUAAGCGUACACGGUGGAUGCCCUGGCAGUCAGAGGCGAUGAAGGGCGUGCUAAUCUGCGAUAAGCGCCGGUAAGGUGAUAUGAACCGUUAUAACCGGCGAUACCCGAAUGGGGAAACCCAGUGUGAUUCGUCACACUAUCAUUAACUGAAUCCAUAGGUUAAUGAGGCGAACCGGGGGAACUGAAACAUCUAAGUACCCCGAGGAAAAGAAAUCAACCGAGAUUCCCCCAGUAGCGGCGAGCGAACGGGGAGGAGCCCAGAGCCUGAAUCAGCAUGUGUGUUAGUGGAAGCGUCUGGAAAGGCGCGCGAUACAGGGUGACAGCCCCGUACACAAAAGCGCAUGUGCUGUGAGCUCGAUGAGUAGGGCGGGACACGUGGUAUCCUGUCUGAAUAUGGGGGGACCAUCCUCCAAGGCUAAAUACUCCUGACUGACCGAUAGUGAACCAGUACCGUGAGGGAAAGGCGAAAAGAACCCCGGCGAGGGGAGUGAAAAAGAACCUGAAACCGUGUACGUACAAGCAGUGGGAGCACAGGUUUACCUGUGUGACUGCGUACCUUUUGUAUAAUGGGUCAGCGACUUAUAUUCUGUAGCAAGGUUAACCGUAUAGGGGAGCCGCAGGGAAACCGAGUCUUAAUUGGGCGUUAAGUUGCAGGGUAUAGACCCGAAACCCGGUGAUCUAGCCAUGGGCAGGUUGAAGGUUGGGUAACACUAACUGGAGGACCGAACCGACUAAUGUUGAAAAAUUAGCGGAUGACCUGUGGCUGGGGGUGAAAGGCCAAUCAAACCGGGAGAUAGCUGGUUCUCCCCGAAAGCUAUUUAGGUAGCGCCUCGUGAAUUCAUCUCCGGGGGUAGAGCACUGUUUCGGCUAGGGGGCCAUCCCGGCUUACCAACCCGAUGCAAACUGCGAAUACCGGAGAAUGUUAUCACGGGAGACACACGGCGGGUGCUAACGUCCGUCGUGAAGAGGGAAACAACCCAGACCGCCAGCUAAGGUCCCAAAGUCAUGGUUAAGUGGGAAACGAUGUGGGAAGGCCCAGACAGCCAGGAUGUUGGCUUAGAAGCAGCCAUCAUUUAAAGAAAGCGUAAUAGCUCACUGGUCGAGUCGGCCUGCGCGGAAGAUGUAACGGGGCUAAACCAUGCACCGAAGCUGCGGCAGCGACGCUGAUGCGUUGUUGGGUAGGGGAGCGUUCUGUAAGCCUGCGAAGGUGGCCUGUGAGGGUUGCUGGAGGUAUCAGAAGUGCGAAUGCUGACAUAAGUAACGAUAAAGCGGGUGAAAAGCCCGCUCGCCGGAAGACCAAGGGUUCCUGUCCAACGUUAAUCGGGGCAGGGUGAGUCGACCCCUAAGGCGAGGCCGAAAGGCGUAGUCGAUGGGAAACGGGUUAAUAUUCCCGUACUUGGUGUUACUGCGAAGGGGGGACGGAGAAGGCUAUGUUGGCCGGGCGACGGUUGUCCCGGUUUAAGCGUGUAGGUGUGUGUUCCAGGUAAAUCCGGUUCACUUUAACACUGAGGCGUGACGACGAGGCACUACGGUGCUGAAGUAACAAAUGCCCUGCUUCCAGGAAAAGCCUCUAAGCAUCAGGUAACAUCAAAUCGUACCCCAAACCGACACAGGUGGUCAGGUAGAGAAUACCAAGGCGCUUGAGAGAACUCGGGUGAAGGAACUAGGCAAAAUGGUGCCGUAACUUCGGGAGAAGGCACGCUGACACGUAGGUGAAGUGAUUUACUCAUGGAGCUGAAGUCAGUCGAAGAUACCAGCUGGCUGCAACUGUUUAUUAAAAACACAGCACUGUGCAAACACGAAAGUGGACGUAUACGGUGUGACGCCUGCCCGGUGCCGGAAGGUUAAUUGAUGGGGUCAGCGCAAGCGAAGCUCCUGAUCGAAGCCCCGGUAAACGGCGGCCGUAACUAUAACGGUCCUAAGGUAGCGAAAUUCCUUGUCGGGUAAGUUCCGACCUGCACGAAUGGCGUAAUGAUGGCCAGGCUGUCUCCACCCGAGACUCAGUGAAAUUGAACUCGCUGUGAAGAUGCAGUGUACCCGCGGCAAGACGGAAAGACCCCGUGAACCUUUACUAUAGCUUGACACUGAACAUUGAGCCUUGAUGUGUAGGAUAGGUGGGAGGCUUUGAAGUGUGGACGCCAGUCUGCAUGGAGCCGACCUUGAAAUACCACCCUUUAAUGUUU